GGACAUGUAGGGCUGCUGCUUUCCGAUCUUCCAGUCUUCCUCUUAUCCUUUGGUGUUUCCAAGCCACUAGCAACCGCAAUAAAAGGAUCACUUCACGCCAUGCGUGAACGCGACGGUAAUAGACUACGAUCCGAUAUCGUCAAACCAUUUGUGGAAAGGAGAGAUUCCCAUGACGUCAUUGCCAUGGCGGAAACCCACUCCUCGCCCCCUAUAAAUCUGCCCUCCUGCAGCAAUCGUAUGCGCAUCACGGGAGGAUGAAGAGAGGCGACGUCGUCGUGCACGGCCAUGGAUUCCUCCUCUUCGCGCUGGUCGUCCUUUUCCUCGUCACUUGUUUUCUCCUACCACCGGCUGCCGACGCACGAGCGGCUCCGUCGGAGAAGAAAGACAACUCGGCGUCUGCCGAAAAGGGAGGCGUCGUCAAAACGUACCCAGCCAUGUCAACCAGAAAACUACAGUCGUCAUGCCCACCAAAUACUCCGAUCAGCUACUGCGCGUUAGAUCCUAACCAUCCUGUGCCAGUUCCGCCUUCGCCAUGCCGACAAAACGGGGUUUACCGCUGCUCGCCAAGUAGUUCGCCACCGCCGCCGCCGCCAUGACAGGCUAUAUAUAUAUAUAUAUAUAUAUAUAUCCUGCGAUGGUAUUGAGCUGAAUCGAGAUACGUGCGUCCGUGUCGUGCAGAUCCUUGGACGAGAAACAGGUUGAAGAAAGUAGUGGCUAAACAUAAUAAGAAUAAAUUCGCUAGCUGGAUGUGCGGGGUAUCAAACAGUAUACUGUGUGAACUACGGCUUCAGAAGGAUGCUUGAAACGUAUUUAUAUAUUAUAUAUAUAUAUAUGUCUUGCUUUCC